UGGGGAAUUUUGCACAAUGGGGGAAACCCUGAUGCAGCGACGCCGCGUGAUUUAGAAGGCCUUCGGGUUGUAAAAAUCUUUUCUAUGGGAAGAAAAUGACAGUACCAUAGGAAUAAGGACCGGCUAAUUACGUGCCAGCAGCCGCGGUAAUACGUAAGGUCCGAGCGUUGUCCGGAAUCAUUGGGCGUAAAGGGUACGUAGGCGGGUAAGCAAGUUAGAAGUGAAAUCCUGUAGCUCAACUACAGUAAGCUUUUAAAACUGCUCAUCUUGAGAUAUGGAAGGGAAAGUGGAAUUCCUAGUGUAGCGGUGAAAUGCGCAGAUAUUAGGAGGAAUACCGGUGGCGAAGGCGACUCUCUGGUCUGUAACUGACGCUGAGGCUCGAAAGCUUGGGUAGCAAACAGG
rnacentral:rRNA from 1 species